GGGGGCGGUGCUGACCUUGAGAGAGCGGAGGAGGCGCAGGCGCAGCACAGUUUAAACUUGAUUUUGUGAGGGGACGAACAGCGUGACAAUUAAAGAAGAUCUAGGAAUCGUUUAAAGACUUUCAUAAGAAGUUUCAAAAAUUACACUGUGAGAAUUUCAUUAAUUUGAAUACUAUCUCAUUCUGCUGUCUUUGCUCUGCAUUUGUGAAGGGAAGGC
rnacentral:lncRNA from 1 species